rnacentral:tRNA from 1 species
CGCAAUCCCGAUCGGCGAUAUCGAUGCGUGUGUGAUCAGCGCACAAUGUUAUCUGU